AGCAAAACUGUGUACUAAAGUAUACCAUAUUAUAUAUUCACUGUGUAGAUCUACUCAUCAGGAGUCCAACAAAAUUAAAUUUUUCAUUUUAUGAUUUUUCUAGGAUUUAUUAUGAUUUUUCAAAGAUUCAGUGGAAAUAAAUAAAAAGAUAAAAAUAAAACCACCCUCCAAAACCACUCGAGGGGGGUUAUUUGACCGAUUUUGAAAGUUCAGAAGAUAGGAUAUCUGGUUUUAUAGUUCAGAGGGGUGAAAAAGUUCAACCUAAAUAAUUUGGGGAGUUAUGUAGACUUUUUUCUAUAAUUAGCCAACAAGUUCAAUUUUCAAGCUUGUCCUCGCACAACUACUACAACCCAAGUUCCAAGCAAAUUUAUCUGUUUCGAUCUCACGCCUCCUCACCCUCCCUCUUCUUUUAAGGCCUUGUUUAGAUCCGAAAAGAUUUUAGAUUUUAACAUUGUAGUAUUUUUAUUCUUAUCUGACAAACAUUAUCCAAUCAUUAAGAAACUAGGCUUAAAAGAUCCGUCUCGCGAUUUAUAAGCAAACUGUGCAAUUAGUUUUUAUUUUUAUCUGUAUUUAAUACUUCAUGCAUAUGCCGCAAUAUUCGAUGCGACGGAAAAUCUUGAAAAAAUUUUGGUUUUUAGGGUGAACUAAACAAGGCUUAAAUGGAAAACAUGCUGACACACGGUCACCUACUUGUAAAAUUUCAAGCUUUUUCUCUAAAUGGUAAACGUUUUUAUCAUACAGUACACGCACUUUAGAGCUCGUUGAACAUCGGAGCUCAAGCUGACAGAUGAGCCUAUGCUUUCGUUAGAAAAACUAGUUUUGUGUACUAGUAGCUUUUAUGUUCUGUGAUGAAUCCUCUUCGGCCCAUCUGGCCCGUCAUGACUCAACGAAUUCUUUUAGCGGAAGGAAUGGCUGUACAGCCAGCAUUCUUAGUCCUGGGCCCAAUUCAACUGCACUACUAUUGCCGCGCGCCGCACAACCCACGCGUCGGAGCCUAAAGCGCAAUAUCAUUGGGCCGUAUUUUUUUCCAUUCAUAGGCACACACUUUUGGCACACCCAACAUUUUCUUUUCAUUUCUUUAUUUUUUGUUUUUCCCAUUCUAACGUAGUCUCCUUUUUUCUUUUCUUUUAUUUUCAUUUUCUUUGGCAUUUUAAUUCUCCUUUUGUUUAUUCAAAUAGAUUUCAUUCGUCCAUUUCAUUUUCUUUCUUUUAUUUUUCUCUCUACUCAUGAACUAGAAUAUUGUUCUCUUAAGAUAGGAAUAUAUUAUUCUCCAAAGUUGGAGAUAUUAUUCUCUUUGGUUUCUAUUUCCUUUGCACUCGUAGAAAUCAAAUACUUUUCUUCUAAACAUAGAACAUUAAUUAACUAAGCAUGGAAAAUAUUUUUUUUCUAAACUAAAAAGUAUUCUCCUUGACCAAAGUUUUAAUCUAUUCAUUUGUCAUUGAUUUAACUUUUUACUUGUGGAUAAGAAUAAUCUCUUGACCUAGAAUAUAUAUCAUUCAUGUGAACCUAAAAUAUUAUUUUCUAAAAAAAUAAUAUUGUUUUGUUGGACUUGAGUGUUUCUCUUUAUGAAACAAUAUUCUUAUGAACUUGGAAUAUUAUUCUCCUAAACUUGGAAUAAUUUUACUUUCCUAAUUUAUGGAAUGUAUAUUAUUUACUUUUGCUUUUUAAUUGUAUUAUUUUUCAAAAAAAAUUCCAAUUAUUGGACUAGAAUAUUAUUUUAUGAUCUAGAAUAUUAUACUCCUGAUUUAGAAUACAAUUUAUCUUAACCUCAAAUUUAUUAUCCUAAUUAAAACUAGAAUAUUAUUCUCCUGAAUCUAGACCUUUUUCUUGUACAUGCAGUGAAGGAACCGUGGCCUUUAAGAGUGGGGUUGAAUUAGGUUACUUAAAACUAAGACCAAAAACUACUUAUUAAAACAUACUCAAGUCGACAUAGCCUAACUGAAAGCUUAACACUGUUAAAUCAUGGAAUAAAUUUAGAAAAAAUCGAGCACCUAUGCCAUGUCGAGGACUUAGCAAUGUCAUAUUAAGUUGAAACCAGAUACAAUUGAAAGGAUAUCAAAUAAGUUUUCUAUCAAGUAUUCAUAGGCCUCAAUCACACUUUGGUGAAAAGAGUUAUGGCAUCACAAUAUGGUACAGUUAGGCUGUAGGUGAACAGAACAUUGGCCUUCGAUUUGUUUGCACUCUAAGAUCGUUCUUGAACAUGGUGUAUCCAUACCCUAUAAGUUGUAGAAACCCUGCAUAGUUUCCAAAGUGCACAUCAAGAUACCUUUGUUGUUAAGCAAAUUGAAAAUAGCUAUAUAUUAGGUACCAACAAAUUCUUAUUGAUACCAUUUACAAACAUAGGAACGAGUGUAAGGACAUAUUUGCCUAAAUGGUCAUUUAACCUAUUUACACAUCAUUUAAAUGCUACACAGUGGUAUGCUAUUUUCAUUUAAUCAGCCUUUUAUCCAUUUAAAUGCCUGUUUUGCCUGUUUAAAUGGUUGCCUUGCCAGAAUGAUAUGGCUAAUAAACCACAAGUGACUGAUUAUUUACCAUCUAGGAUAAAAAUUUUAAGGAUCAUGUGUCUAUAAUAUAUCAUAUCUUUUAGGAAUGGUGAUUACGAUGACAAGACAAUUCUUAGACUAACAUGUAUGUGAAACAAUAUCACAUACAUGAUUUUUACAUAGAUCGAAACAGGUUUAUGGAGAAAGACAGGGAGUCUAUCUCCGGGUUACCAUGACUACAAAUCAGUAUUUUCGGAGGCGAGCAAAUGACCGCCACUGAUUAAAACAUAAAAAACAAAAGCCUAGCAUCGAGCCUGCUACUAGGCUCAUUCACCAAGCCUGGGCCUCGACCUAGGCCAUGCGUUGUUGAUCCGCAUGUCACACCUUUGAUCCACACACAACUGCCAUGCAUCUGGCUACAGUGUCGUUGACUCAACGACUGAGGGCCCAACCAACCACACCGCUCCAAUGGACCAUCGACCAAACUGCCACUCCUCCACCAAAUUUGGUCGUCCCACCACUAGAUUUAUUACCUCGACUCGAGUGGCUGGGCCACCGUGUCACCACUCAUGCAUGGCCCUCAGACAAGCUGUCAUACCACUACCGUCGUCCUAGCGCACCUUCAGGAACCACCCCUUCUCACCCUAAAACCACCACCACACGUGCUCUGUGGGGCCACAUGAUCAGAGAUCCGCCGGUCACCACCGCUCGAGCCAGUCGUCGGAUCCACCACUAAGUGAGGCGCAGAUGGGAGGCGAGGUGUGCCUCAUGGUCCUAUAUGGGCCGCACCAUCAGAGGUGGCUCGGCCCACAGGAUGAAGACGUGCGGCGCACGACUGGUCGGCGUGCACCGCAAGGCUACAAGAUAUUGUACCAAAUAGGAUAGUUUACUUGUAACUCUGUCCCUUCACGAUAUAUAAGGAAGGGCAGGGGUCCCCUAGAGGACAAGUCAGAAUCAUAUUCUCUCAACACAAAUCAAUACAACCAGACGCAGGACGUAGGUAUUACGCCAACUCGGCGGCCGAACCUGGAUAAAAAGCUUGUCCUUGUCUUGCGUCACCAUCGAGUUCGUAGUUUGCGCACCGUCUACCGAUAAACUACUACCGUGGGUAUACCCCAAGGUAGACUGCCGACCAGCUUUCGUCGACAGUGUGCGAGAGCGCGGCUGAGGAAGAGAGGCAUGGGGGAGGGAGGAGAUAUUUUAAGAAAACUAAGUGGUUCUUAUAUAUCUGACCAUCAUAUUAGGCUUGGUGGGUUUCGAACCUGUUUCAAGAGGUGGGCCUCUAUAAAUGAAUUUACAGGGACCAGGGACGAAGCCAGAAAAAAUUUUAGGAGGAGUUGAACAAAAUUGCUAUAUCGACUUAACUUUACUAUAACCCCUCACAAUAUAUAGAAAAAAUAUAUUAGUUUAAAGUAGUCUUAUAUUAAUUCACAAAAUAUAUUUAAAAAUAAAAGUCUCAGCCCACCCUAUCUUAUAAAUUUGUGUCUAAAAUUAGAAGAAAAACACUAGAAGCUCCACUGGAUCAGCAGCGGUAGGGGGGCUGGAGCCCCCCUAGCCCCACCGCUAGCUUCGUCCCUGACAGGGACGAAUGUUUUUAAACUGCUUUCGUAAUUGGUGCUACCACUCCAAAAUUUAGUAGCUAUUUUGGGAGACACUAAUAAUAUUAGACCAUCUACGUUAAUAAAAUCCCUUGUCUCCUAAAAACAUUGUAGUAGUGAAAGAUGUGUUAGACAUGUUAUAAUAGAUUUUAGGGAUGCAAGGUUAAGGUUUAAUCAAGAUCCGAGUUAAGACAAAGAAGUGAAGAAACAACACAGAUAGAUUUCUUUCAGAUUCCCCGUCAGAGCAUUCACAGAACAAGUUUAUCAUCAGGCAUGUUGGAUCAUGGUGGAAUCUAGUAAGAUGGCCACGAAGUGCUGGUAAUCGUGGAAUCCAAAAAGUUAGUUAGGUAGACCGUGCACACCAAAUGAUACGUUGAAAAGAAGAAUGAACUGAUGGACAAUCCAGUGCAUAUAAUAGAGUUGGCAUAGUUGAAGACCCAAAUUACCAAAGCCCUGAAAGCUUGAUUGGUUGGACGAAUUAUUAUAGUGAUCGUUAUAUUAGAGCAGGAGAAAUUUAUUUUCCACGGAGAUUGAAGAAUUUUUGUGGAAGGAACCAAUGACAAUCGGAUAGGAUUGAGUGAGAUUGACUGAUUCUUAACUUGAGCAGACACCACAGAGAGAAAUAAAUCGAUUUGGAGUGGGGUACAUAUGUACGUGGUUGGCUGCCUGAGGAAGGAAACGAACCAGUACUACUGCUGACUCUGUGCUAUCUCCUAUCUCUCACCUGAUCAAUCAAAAGCUGAUAAUUGGUUGCCCAUCCUAUUCUCCGUUUGUCCUCUCGGCUGCUGAUUUGCAGUAGUGUGACCUCGAUGGACAUUCGGGGUCUGAAAAAAGGGUUUCUAUGGUCCACCCCUGCACUGCAUAUGAAUAAUGAUCAUGAUUAGUGCUCGAUAUCCUGAUAUAUAGGUUGCUGCGCGUAACAGUGUACGCUACUUAGGUCCUCCUAGCUAGGCCUGCAAGCUACCAGCUGCUAGCUGCUACAUCUAUAUAUAAAAGGCAUCGCCGCGAGCAAACAUAAAAAGCAAAUCCAAAGCUGAAAGGUAGCUGAGUCCCCUUAUACAUAGACACUACUUGAGCUACAUUUUAGUAGAGUAAUGUCGAUGCAUUACUUGGUUUCUGUAUCUGUGACCUGCUUGGCUCUGGGAGUGGGAGCUAUCUUGGUCUUGAGAAGGAGGAACGGCGGCCGAACGUGCGAAGGAGCGAGGCUGCCACCGGGGUCGAGGGGCCUGCCGUUCAUUGGAGAGACGCUCCACUACUUGGCAGCGUCCUCAACUCUUGGGCUAUUGCCACCCUUCUUCGAGAAACGGUUGGAGAGGUAUACUAUAUCACUACUAGAAUAGAUGGCUUUGCCGAGUGCCCCAGGCAUUCGGCAAAGUUCUAAAACACUUGGCAAACACUUUGCCGAGUGUAACACUCGGCAAAGCGCACGCGGCAAAAAAACGGCAAAGGACGCUUUGCUGAGUGUUCUUUGUCGGACAUUCGGCAAAGAGUUUAUCGAGUACCGCUCCGACACUCGACAAAGUAAAGAUAUUGUGAAGGGAGGAGCUGUCGUUAGGUUUAGUUUGUCGAGUGUCGACCACCUAACACUCAGCAAAUUGUGGUAGUUUGCCGAGUGUCAAGGCAAAAACACUCGGCAAAGUGACCAGGUUUGCCGAGUGUUAGGUGGUCGACACUCGACAAAGUGCGUGUAUGUGUGCAUGUGUGUGUGGAUAAGGUGUGUGUGUCUGUGGGUACGAUGCUUUGUCGAGUGCCCCGAUCUAGCACUCGGCAAAGUUAAUUUUUGAAAAAAAGUCAAUUUUUUUUUGCCGAGUGUCAUAGCUUCACACUCGGCAAACUAAUAAUUUUUUUAUUUUGACCUCGAAAAAUUUUCUAGUCCUCCUACAAUAACUUAAACUACAAAUUCAAAUUUGAUAUGUUUCUCAAGACGGUUGCUAUAUUUAGUAAACUUAUUUUGUUUAAUUAAUUUUUUGGAUUCAAAUUUGAAUUGGAAGUCACUCGAAUAAUGGAAAAAAUGAAUGAACAAAUGAUAUUCUUGUUAUUGAGACUAAAUUAAUGCCCUAUCCAGGCACCAAAUUCAAAGAUCUUGUUCACGGAACAUGACCACAAACUUGCGGAUGAGUUGGUUUUAAAAUCUAUAAAAAGCAAAUAAAGUUAGAAAAUCAUAAACUUGGUUGACAUGUCAUGAUAUCGUAUGUGGAUCCUAUGAUAAAGACUUGAUAAGGUUUCACGAAAGUUGUGACGUAUCAUGCUUACAACCUUGACAUAUCCAAACAUAUGACAUGAUAUCGUAUGUGGAGAUGUCUUGAUUUAUAAGCAUCCUACGUCACAACUUCCACGAAACCUUAUCAAAUUUUUAUCAAAGCCUCUACAUAGGAUAUCAUGACAUGUUGACAAGUUUUAUGAUUUUUAAACUUUGUUUGCUUUUUAUAGAUUUUAAAACCAACUCGCCCGCAAAUUUGUAGUCAUGUUCCAUGAAUAAGAUGUUCGAAUUUGGUGGUCUAUUCUUGGAUACAGCCUUAAAUUAGUCUCAAUAACAAGAAUAUCAUUUUUUUAAUUUAUUUUUUUCCAUUAUUCGAGUGACUUCCAGUUCAAAUUUGAAUUACUAAAAAAUCAGUUAAAUGAAAUAAAUUGACUAAAUAUAGCAAACACUUAGAAAAACAUGCCAAAUUUUAACAUGUAGUUUAAUUAACUGUAGGAGUACCAGCGAAAAAUUUUGGAGAUCAAAACUCAAAAAAAAGUUUGUCGAGUGUCAGGGGUAGACACUCGGCAAAGCAUGUCUUUGCCAAGUGUCAACCCUGCGACAGCCGUCAGCUGUUGUCAUGGGGUGCCGAGAGUAAAAUUUUGCCGUGUGGUUGACACUCAGCAAAGCACCAAUUUGUCGAGUGUAAAUUUUCGCCGAGUGUCGUACACUAGGCAAAUGUCCAUUUUACCUAGUUAUUAUUUACCAAGUGUCGAACACUCGGCAAAGGGUUAUUUUGCCGAGUGUCACGUUUUACCUAGUACAACACUCGAUAAAACUAAUCUUUGCCGAGUGUCCAAUUUUUAACACGUUCCCGGAAGUGUAUAUAUACUAGUAAAUCACAAUAUAGCUUCCUCUUUAGGUAGCUUUCGUGGUUGCAUAGGCUAUUCAACGGGCCGGGGCUAUAGAACGCCCGUACAAAGGGGUCACAUGUUCAGAACUAGUACAUCUGCUUUUCAUAAACUUAUUAGUCAAACUUAGAGUCAUAUGAGUAUGACUUAUUAGGAUAAAACUGAAACAUAUCUUGCAAUUGCAUUUUGGAGACGAACGAAUGACUAUAUUUGCAGUGGCGGACCCAGGAUUUGGUUAUGACUAGGGCCAAAUCCUAGUAGCAAAAAGCCAAAAACUACACCAUCAUCUAUAUAAUCUAUGUGUCAUAUAUAUAUAAAUUGUUAUUACAAAGAAAAGUUUUUAGAUCAAGAAGUUCUCCAACUACAUAUCGCCAUACAAAAGAAUACAACAUUAAACUAUAAAAAUAAAUACUUAGCAAUGACAAGAAUACAACAUUGAACUAAAAAAUAAAUUCCUAGCAAUGACCUACUACAUUCACAUUUUUCAUGUUCUUUUCAGUAAUGCCUAAAUCUAGACAUGAGAUGUGAGAGUUAAUAAAAAAAGACAAACAAAAAAGUAACCUUACUUAAUGACAAUGGAUUUGUAGCCUAAAUAUAUCUUGUAGCGUCAGAAAGUAUUGCAACAUUGUCCAUCCAUUCAAGAUUUAUGGUAGAGUUUUCUUUUUGUUAAGAUCAGAAUAUAUGUAGUAGAAGAACUGCAGGGGAUUCAAUUACUUCAUAAAGCAUCCAAGCGAGAGGUCGAGACAACCAGAGAAGAGGCGUCGAUUCCUAAUGUGCCUAGACUGGUUGGCGUUAAAGCUAUUGGGCUAAACUCUGAUAAACAAAGGCAUUGUUCAAUUCACGAAAUUUUUUGGCUUUGGCUAUUAUAGCACUUUUGUUUGUAUUUGAUAAUUAUUGUCUAAUCAUGGACUAACUAGACUCAAAAGAUUCUUCUCAUAAAUUAUAGGCAAACUAUGCAAUUAGUUUAUAUUUUCGUCUAUAUUUAAUACUCCAUGUAUAUGUCUAAAGAUUCGAUGUUAUAAAAAAUUUAGAAUUUUUUUGGAAAAUAAACCUGGUCUAGAAAUUAAAAAGUUGUACCUAGAAUAUCUAGACUAUGACUAGGGCCAAGGCCCUAGUGGCCCUAGGCCUGAGUCCGCCAAUGUAUAUUUGUCUUCGAUCGACGAUGACCUCGUUACAACCCCUAUAGCUAGAUGGCUAGAUGCAUUGUUCCUGAGCGAUUUAUAACUAGGCCUUGUUUACUUCCACCCAAAAUCCCAAAAAUUUUCAAGAUUCCCCGUCACAUGAAUCUUUAAACAUAUGCAUGGAGUAUUAAAUAUAGAUAAAAAUAAAAACUAAUUGCACAGUUUGAUCGAAAUUGACGAGACGAAUCUUUUGAGCCUGGUUAAUCUAUGAUUGGACAAUAAUUACCACAAACAAACGAAAGUGCUACAGUGUCACGAAACUUUUUCAUUCAGGAACUAAACAAGGCCCUAAUCACGUCCGUACGUACGUGCGUGGUUAUAAAAACUCAAAGAAAUUGCAUGCUAGCUAGUACGUAAUGGAUCGAUGUCCAUGCUUGGACUUGUUGGAGUUUGCAGGUACGGCCCCAUCUUCCGGACGAGCCUAGUCGGGGAGGACCUCGUCGUGUCGCUGGACGCGGAGCUGAACGCUCAUAUCCUGAAGCAGGAGGAGCGUGGCUUCCAGAUUUGGUACCCACCCUCCUUCAUGCGCGUCUUCGGCGCCGACAACAUCACCUCUAAGAUCGGCGUGCUCCACCGCCACAUGAGGACCCUUGUGCUCCGCCUCUUCGGCCACCAGACCAUCCGCUCCGUGCUGCUGCACGACGUGCAGCGGAGCGCGCGCGACGAGCUCCGCUCAUGGCUCGACCGCCCGGACGUCGAGGUCAGGACGGCCAUCUCCAGGGUUAGUUCCUUAUUAAUUAGCUUCCUCUUUCUAUAGUAAGGUCCUGUUUGGUUGCUCCUGUUUUUUUUUUAACUCCUAUCACAUCAAAUGUUUAGAUACAUACAUGAAGUAUAUUUACAAAACUAAAAAUACAACACCUGUUAAAUUUUAAUACCCCUAGAAACACAGCUAGAGAAUAAUUUACGAGACGAAUCUUUUGAACCUAAUUAAUCCAUAAUUAGAUACACUAAUUGUUAAAUAAAACGAAAAUGCUAUGAUACCUAUUAAAUUUUAACACCCCUAACCAAACACCACCUAAUAACAAUAGAGCCAAUCGAAGUGCAUGUGCCAACGUCCCGUGUGUUUAUGCUUAUGAGUCUUCACUCUGCAGAUGAUAUUUGGCGUCACUGCAAAGAAGCUGAUCAGCCAUGAUGAUGCAGCAUCAGGGGGAAGGUUGUGGGAAUGCUUCCACGACUGGACUUCGGGGCUACUCUCAUUCCCAGUUCCCAUUCCUGGCACAACUUUCUACAGAUGCAUGCAGGGACGCAAGAACGUUAUGAAGGUGCUGAAGCAGCAACUCGGUGAGCGUAGGAACGCAGCGGAGCGCGAGACCGUGGAUUUCUUCGAUCUUGUGAUCGAUGAAUUGAACAAGCCAAACCCUAUGAUGGACAAGAGCACCGCGUUGGACUUGCUGUUCGCGAUGCUCUUUGCAAGCCAUGAGACGACGUCGAUGGUAUUAACCGUCAUACUCAAGUAUUUGACGGACAACCCCAAAGCUUUGCAAGAACUAACAGUAAGUAGAUUAAUUUAUUUAAACACUGUUCCCAUAAUUAUUUGAUUGUGUUAUGUAUCAGAACACACACCAACGUUUACAUCGAGUUCGUAUUUGACUGUGAUGUUAAUUUCCAGGAGGAGCAUGAAAGAAUCCUGGAAAGAAGGGUUGAUCGGGACUCCGAUAUCACGUGGGAGGAGUACAAGUCUAUGAAAUUCACAUCUCAUGUAUGUACUGACCUAAUUGUCAAAAAGAAAAUCAAUUUGGAAAAUGCACAAUGCAAAUAUAUCUUGUCCAUGCAUGGCAGAAUUCAAAUGGUUAUCUUGGACUAAUAUGCUUUCUAUAUCGGGCCCUUCUAUAUCACAUAGGUUAUACAUGAAUCUCUAAGGCUGGCAAACAUUGCUCUAGUCAUGUUCAGGAAAGCAGAUCAGGAUGUGCACACAAAUGGUAUGCAUAAUCAUGUCCAAUAAAAAAAUCUUCUAUCUACAUUUCCUACUACAUAUUUAAGAGAAUAUAAAUGAAACAUGUUAUACAUAUUAUGCACUCAGGGUACACAAUUCCAAAAGGAUCAAAGAUCAUGAUCUGUCCACUAGCAUCGCACUUGAAUAUGAAGGUUUACGAGGACCCCUCAGUGUUCAAUCCAUGGAGAUGGAAGGUAUAUAUGUGAAAUAAACUCAAAUCAAAUCAACAGAUUAAUCCUUGGCCCAAAGAUCACACAGGUGUGCAUUAUGUGUAUAGAAUAUUCCUGAACCAGUCGGUGCCUCUAAGGACUUUAUGGCCUUUGGGGGUGGUUUGCGGCUAUGUGCUGGUGCUGAUUUUUCCAAGAUGCAAAUGGCUAUGUUCCUCCAUUACUUGGUCAGAAAUUACAGGUAAAAAAGCUCUCCCUUUUACAGAGAGAGCUAUAAAAUGUUCAUCACUAUACAAAAGUACUUAUCAACUGUAUGACAAAAUCAAUAUUUUGUUUUCGUCAAUAGGUGGAAAACCGUCAGUGGUGGGACAAUGGUAUUCUAUCCAGGGCUGCAAUUUCCAGAUGGCUUCCACAUCCAACUUCUUCCAAAAAUCUGAAAUGUGGUUCUAGAAACCCUAUCAAGAAAUUAUGCGCAUGGUAUUAACAAUUAUGUUAUGAGUAGUAGUUAUGACUAAAUAAAUACAAAUAAGAACAAUUAUAUUUAUAUUUAUAGGGUGAAGGAGAAAAGGCUUAAAGUUCAAUAAUGAUGUGAUAGAUUAUUCGACCAAACUAUGUUUCAAGAGCACUGGGCAAUAUUGUACUACAAUGAUAGCUAGUGAGAACUACUUGCUUUAUAAACAGAUCGAGGGAGUAUGUGUUUAAUUUUUUGAACUUAUAAACAAUAAUAGAGUAAAUUUCACCCCCUGUGUAACAACUAUGUUCGUGAGUACAAAUUGGUUAAACAUCUUGUAAUAUGUCCAAUUCAAUGCAAAAAACUUGGUUGUUUGGUGUACAUACAGUCCUACAAACAUGUCAGGUAUGAUGUGUUUGGCCAAGCUAGACACUGAAGACGGUAUAGAGCUUAUAUUUGAUCGCUUGAAAAUAGUCCUCCUGACUUAUACAAUCCUUCAGCGGUUUACUCGUAAUGUCUUGAGGAUGUUAAGGAUCGCCAGGUAGUCUCAUAGCAUGCCCAACAUCACACUGACAACCUUCGAUUGGCUCGAGUCCAACUAAAACAACACCCAUGUCGCAGGUCCAUUGCAAACAACAUCCUAGCCUAGUUAGACAAUGCAAUUGAAGAGGGUUUUGUGGAUACCACGGGGCAGUUGCUCCAUGCUUGUGUUUGGUUGAGCCAUUGAAGAUGGAGCCUCAUCACCGAGAACUCAACAUUGCUCCACCCUAAUAUGAUUAUUGUUCAUGAUUUCCAUCUCUAAACUACCUCUACAUAGUGGAAUAGCUAAGGCCUCCAUUUAAAAACAUGGUAUGUACACCACCUAGCGCAACUAGUAGUAGAUUAAUUACAUGGGCUCCGAGUAUCCAAGCCGAGUCCAAAACGGACAACCUGCAGUUGGUCAAGUGGAUGACACUCGGUUUAGGUUAUUUGACUCAAAUGGUCCUCAUUGAGUUAGGUAUCCUUCAUAGUGUGCUUGACCUUCUUAAGCCUCUCCACCACUUACAUUAUCUUGGCAUUCUCAUCUACAAUGAAGUCACCACAAGUUUCUUCAAGAACUUUCUCAAUACAAACUCCAUUGCAAGUGGUUAGAUCACCAAAGGUGGAGGCAUUACCUUAGAAAUAGAAAUUGACCUUUAGGUAUAUUGAUUCAUGCACAAGGGGGGCUCUUUUGUAUUAACGACCACAAAUUUGGAUUAAAGUCACAAUGCUCCUUGUCUAAGAAAUGAAAAUUGUUAAGCAGUGAUUCAUAAUGAGUGAUAAAGUUGGACUGAGUUGUUCUUUAAUUUCUUUGAGGGCCUUAAUUUCUUUAGAUUGUCUUUUUAAAAAGCCUCUCUUAUUCAUGGAGAAAGUGAAGUAGGUUUUCUUCUUCAUCGAUGGAGUCAUCACUUACAUUGCUUUUCUUACACAUGGUCACAAGGCUAGACUUGGAGAGACGGGUGGUGAAAAUACAUUAUAUUAAGCAUGUUAGUCCAAACAUCGACAGGGCCUUCCCCUACUCCCUGUCAGUCGUUGCUAUAGUAGUGGCACCUAUAAUAUAGCAGGGUUCAUGUUGGAGUGCAUCAAGUUCUCUAAUUCCUUGAAUUAAGGGAAAAGUUCUUGUGUGGUUAGCUAGCCCACCUUUCCUUGAGUCUGAUUUUAGACAUUUAACUUGUAAGUUGUUCAAAUUUAGUUUUACAUUUCUAGAAAUAAUAAGAUAGUUUACUUUAUUAAAUUCAUUUUCUAUAUAUUUUAAAUAAAAAAGUGGAACCCAUGGCAUUUUUUAUAAAAAUACAAUCUAUCUGUUACUGCAAUGUUUGAAGUUAUUUGGAUGUAGUUGUAAUUGUUUCUAGUGUUUUAUUGCUCUUUGUUGUGCCUGUAAUUGAUACAGUUAUCGUUUUGUUCUUUAUUGAACUCAAAGAUCAACCAAAUGCAAAAAUAAUACCAAAUAUGUUGGAGUUGAAUUAACCAAAAAAAAAUUGAGGGCUAGCAAAUGAAUACUAGUUGCAAUGCCUAGAUACAAACUAUAUAUGGUGAAACAUGUUACCUACAGGUUGGUGUUUUCUUUUCCAGUCUAUUGUGUACUCCAAAUGGUUUAAUAGUUGAAAACUAUAAUUGAAAUAGAGAUAAUGUACAUGACCAUUGUCACACCCAUAUUUUAAGAACAAAAUAGGAUGCAUAAAAGACUUACAUGUGCCCCAGAAACAGUCGCACACAUAAGUAGACAAAUCUCAAAUGUACCAUUGCAGUGUUUAUUACAUAGCGGAAUAUAAGAUAUCACAUAGUCUCAUACAAAAAUGAUAGCAUAAAGUAAACAACGCUCUCGACGGAAGCUCCACACAGGGACACUGUUGACUGGUUGACUCCAAACCUAGUACUCAUAACGAUAAUCCUCAUUCCAGUCUUCUUCAUUAUCAUAUCCUAAGGUGUUGGGAAAUUGCAAGAGUGAGCACAUAUCGUACUCAACAAGUAUAACCAGGGGUUCAUGAGGCUCAAAUAGCUGACACUGGUUUGACUGCAUUUAGCUUUUAAUGGUGGAUAGCAUGUUCAUAAUUAAAUAGCAAUUGUCAAGGGGUUCAUGAGGCUCAAAUAGUCCUUUCUAAAAUAUAUUACGCCGGCUAACCGAAACAAAUGCGGAAUUAAAACUAUCGGUCUAGCCAAGACUACACCCCUCUAUCUAAGUUCUCUAGCACCUUGAAAAGAUCCUAAACAAGCAAGCAAGGUGCUACCUAAGCAAGAGCUCACCUAAUCAAAUCUAGGAGCAAGGUCACACAAACCUAUGCAACUAGUACUUUACAAACCGAGGGAGCUCCUACACAAACUAGUGAGGCAAAGCGCACAAAGCCUAAGCUCACUAGCAAGCUCAAUAAUAAGGCAACUAAUGCCAAAUUAGAGAGCACAACUUACUUAGCUACACAAACUAAGCAAUGUGACUAACAAGGUUACACAAACCAAAUUAGUCACGCAAGGGAACUACUUCUAGCUACACAAGCAAGAAGGUAACUAGCAAGCUACACAAGCUAACUAAUUACAAGAGCAACUACACAAGCACAAGUAUAUGAACGUAAGAACAAGCUUGUGUUAGGGACUUGCAAACCAACUGGAAGAACAAUGUUGACACGAUGAUUUUCUCCCGAGGUUCACUUGGUUGCCACCAAGCUACGUCCCCAUUGAGACAAGCUCCAAGGUUGCCGCCGGUCCUCUUGCAAGUGGUGACCCGCAAGUCACACUCUCCCACGUGGAGUGCUUACCACAAACUCUAGCACUUGACCCGGCCGGACCACUUGUCGCUCUUCACGUCUCGCUCAACUAGAGUUGCUCUUCGCGAUCCCCGCGGGGUGAGCACCGUACCCCUCACAAUCUCUUCUCCGGAGCACCGCACAAUCUCCUUGCGUGCUUCGACGGAGUCACAAGCCACCAAGCCGUCUAGGAGGUGGCAACCUCCAAGAGUAACAAGCACCACCGGCUUGCAACACGAACACCUAGUGCCACUCGAUGCAAUCUCUCAAUGCAACGCACUAGAAUCACUCACUCGCUAUUGAUUCGCACUCUUGCAAGCACAAGUGAGUUAGAGGCCUUCCUAGCACUCCCCAAGCAUGGACACUAAGUCCCAAGGGUGCUCAGCACCAGCCAAGGCCGGCCACCACUUCUAUUUAUAGCCCCAAGAGCUAAACUAGCCGUUGCCCCUUCACUGGACGAAACACGUGGGCACCGGACGCUCACAGGGAGCCACCGGACGCUCAACACCCAGCGUCCGGUGCUCUGCUGACCGCCACGUGUCACUAGCCGUUUGAAGUCGACCGUUGCCGCCAACGGCUACUGCGCACGCGCGCCUGCACAGCACCACCGGACGAUGGGCACCGGACGGUCCGGUGCUCACCGGACUCGUGCGCAGAGAGUUUGUCAAACUCGCGACCUCACCGGACGCUAGGCACCGGACGGUCCGGUGCUCACCGGACUCGUGCGCAGAGAGGGUUGCAAAAACCCCUCACACCGGACGCUAACCACCGGACGCUCUCAGAGUGCGUCCGGUGCUUAACCCUAGCAGGGUCAAGCUCAUCGGACGCUGAGGCCAGCGUCCGGUGCCUCCGCACUCAGCGUCCGGUGAGUGUUUCUCAGUGAGAAAACACUCCCGCGACUUCUCUAAAUUUCCCACCGGCGCAAUAGAAAAUAUACACUUAAUUUUCUCAAAAGCGCCGAACACCACCAAGUGUACACCACCAUGUGCAUGUGUGUUAGCAUUUUCACAAACAUUUUCCCAAAGGAGUUAGCCUCUCAAACUUGCCACGCCACUCGAUCCUAACACGUAUGCAAAGUUAGAUCGCUCAAGUGGCACUAGAUGACCGAUAUGCAAACAAGUUUGCCCCUCUUGAUAGUACGGCCAUCUAUCCUAAAUCCGGUCAUAAACUUCUCUACACACCUAUGACCGGUGAAAUGGAAAUGCCCUAGGUUAUACCUUUGCCUUGCGCUUUCCAUUCCAUCUCCUCCAAUGUUGAUGCAACACAUGCAUCAACCAAUCACCAAAUGAUAUGAUCCACUUCAUAUCAUCACAUGACCGUAUUGGUUCAUCGAUCUUGACCUCACUUGCUCUUCACCGUUGCCUCGGUCCAUCGGCGCCAAGUCUUGCUCAAGCUUCACCGUCACACGCGGUCCCUCGCUUCAAAGCCUCCGACUUGCCCUUCACUCUUGCAACCGGUCCAUCAAGCCAAGCCUCAUCUUGAUCUUCUCCACCUUGGUCACAUGACUCCAUGUCAUGUCUCAUAUGCAAUGAGCUCCUCCAUCAUCAUAUAAUCACCUGUGGACUAAUCUCCUGUGUAUCUCACAUAAACACUAUUAGUCCACCUAAGUUGUCACUCAAUUACCAAAACCAAACAAGGACCUUUCACUCGCACUAUACCUGUGUCGGUUCAGCCUCCGCCCUUUCGGGUAACCUCUAACAAGCUAGAAAAGGUCUCCAUACUGAGCUAAAGCCAGAGCCAUUAUAGCCCUCAUGGUUGCACUGUUAUCCCGGAUGAUCACGUACAGACAAGAUCUCAUACAGUUAUUUGUCAUUCUUUUAUGUUCAUUGCAUAGCUAGUAAUCAUCUUACAAGAUCAUGGAUUAUAUCAAGCACUAGCACAUCUACACCAAAUGCAUAUCAAGUAGGUAGCAAGGAAUACAGGUAACAAUCAUCUAUGAUUUUGCUAAGGUCGACAAGGUGAUAGCAUGCAUAUGUGAAUAGGUAACAAGGAUGAUCCCAAGUUAUACUUGCCUUGCUCAAAGCUCUCCUGAGCCUGCUGGUCCUCAAAAGCUUGGUCUUGGUCACCAACGUACGGCUCACCGUCUAUAACCGAUCAUCAAUCAACAACACGCAAUCUAAUAUAGACAAUCAUACACGAAGCAAACAAGAUAUAAUUAGAACAUUACACCAACCAGUGGGAAAACAAAGAUAAAAGUUUAUGAAAAUAUUCUACGCAGCGCUACGAUCACACAAACGUAAAGUUGACAAAAAUUGAAAUUAAAACGGAGAAGUUAUGUAUUUUCCAAGAUUUCCUAUAGAGAAAUAAUUAAUUAACUAGUACCAGGAAAUUAAAAAGUUUCAAAACAUAAAACUAAUAAUUCUAACAUGUAGUGCUCGUAAAUACGAAUCCAACGAAAUUUGAACGGACAAAAACAGAGUUAAAAUAAAUAUUUUAUAAGCAAAACCAAAGUGCUAGUUCGCUUUCCGCACAGCCCGGCCGGUUUCCAGCUCCGGCACGGUGGCGCGUCAUGGGCGCCAUGGGCGCCACCGGGAGCUCGUCUUCGGCGCACAGUGACUUCUCGUUUCCGAUCACCGUUUCGAGAAAGAAAAACUCCGGGAAGACGAGCAGCUCACCGCGAAGUGCGUCCUCGGUUCGGUCCUAAAGGAAGUAGGAGGAGCGCGCGGCGGCGGGAGAGCUCACGGUGAGAUCCGCUCCCAGGAAAAAAAUAUACGGCGAUUAGGGCUCGGUUUCUCCACUUGGACGCAAAGAGGGAACAGGGAGGUUGACCUAAGACUUUAUGGGGCUCGGUUUUGCGCGUGUUGGCAAGAAAUCACGAAUCGAAUUCCCGGGAUCGGAGUCCCGAUCCUUCACAGCUGGGAGAAGAAGGAAGGGCUCUGGCGUGUGGGUUCCGCGUCGCAGUGAGAGAAGGGGCAGGGCCCAGCUGGCAGUGAAGGAGGAAGGGGAAAUCAGCGCGCGGGCUUCCUGGGCCGCGCUGGACCGAGGCGAAGGGGAGAGGGGAUGCUCGGGCUGCGGCCUGAGAGGCUUACUUUCUCUUUUUUUUUCUAUUUUCUUUUUCAAUAGAGUUUUGUGUGCAAAAUAAAUUCUCAUAAAAAAACAACAAGCAUAGAAUAAAAUGUGCUCCAACAUGAAUGCAACAACAUGUUUCUAAAACUUAUGAUAAAUUUUAUUUUCCACAAAAUUAUUUAAGUGCUAAAUUUAAAUGCUCUCAAAAAUACUUAAUUAAAUCAAAUUAAAUCCUAUUAAUCUGAAAUCAAAUUUUGGGUGUAACAACCAUAGACUACAAAUACUAGGAAUAUAGGAACAAAUAAAUUCCAAAUAACUCAAUCAGAUCGCUAAAAAUAAUUAUGAUAUAUUUUUCUGUAAAUAUUUAGUACUAAUUUCAUAUUUUGUUGAUGUAAUAUAAAAAUAAGCAACAAGUUUAUUUGAGAGUAACUAAACAUCCUUUUUGACUGAAAUCAGCGCUCAUAUUUGCUUGUUGAAAAUCCAACGUGUGGGUUCUACUGUAGGCACGAGGAAUUUGAGUGCUUAGGCAGCUGAUAUUUACUGAAACGCAGAUAUUUUCUUCUUCUUUUGUCUUUUUUGACCAAGACGACGUCCGGACUGCUAAUGUCCUUAUCAUGCAUCCAACGCUUUCAGAAUGUCACUGUACUUGCAAUGAUCGUAGAGCAUACUGUACAGACCAAAUAAAAGGAUGGACACAGGAACCAUGGAGAACGUACGGCUAGCCUGGCGGCUCGAGAAAAUGUAUGUGGACUCCCAGAAUUGACAGACAUGAAACGAGACCCGACGCAUGAAAGCUUCAAUGACUCAAUUAUUUAUGUCUCCGAACCGAUCUAGGGCAAGAUUGCUUCAGACUUACUCCUAGAUAUAGUAUCAAUGUGUCGAGUGUUAGAUCAACUUCAUCCCUGUGCUCGGAUGUCGUUGAUCUAAACACUCGACAUGGCUGGGCCUUAGCAGCCGGGGUACGGGAACAUGGGCACGUUCCCCGUUCCGGGAACUUCGUCCCGAAACGUGGAACGGGAACAUCAUGGAACAUCGUUCCCAAAUGCGGUGGAACACGAAUCAUAUAUAGGAGCAAUCAUAGAAACAUCAGUCCCAAGCGACUAUGGAACUUCGUGGUGUGUGUGCAUACUGCGCCGUGCCCGUCCGUGAGCGGUCGGCGAAAAAUCUAGAUGGUGAUUGACUCAUUGGCCUAGACCUGCAAUGAGCCUUAAGGUUGGAGUUGGACAGCCCUAAAUGAAACAAAAAUACAAUAGUAAACUAUAUCACGCUAGGAAUCGAACUCAUUUGAUUCAAAACAACACGUAAAACUAUCUGAGCCAACCACUACGUCCCAAACACGUUCCUUUAGAAAGUGGAACGCGUUCCACAACUUAAAGGAACGAGACGAAGCUAUAUACCCCCUACGUUCCAUAGUUUAUGAGAAUGUCGUACCGCGUACCACGUUCCCGUACCACGUACCCUAUGUUCCGGGAACAUGGCUGCUAAGGGCUGGGCACCCACGUAUAACUAGCCAACAAGUUUAAUUUUCAAGCUUGUCCUCGUACUAUACUACUACUACCCAAGUUCCAAGCAAAUUGAUCUGUUUCGAUCUCACGCCACCUCAGCCUCCUCUUCUCUAAGGGGUUGUUUAGUUCAUGAAAUAUUUUGCAAAAGUUUUUAAAUUUUUUUCAUCACAUUAAAUCUUUCAACACAUGCAUGCAGCAUUAAAUAUAGAUAAAAAAUAAUUAAUUGCAUAGUUCACUUGUAAUUUGUAAGACGAAUCUUCUAAGGGCACUCACAUGCAAGACUCUAUCACAGAGUCCAAGAUAAUUAAUUAUACAUUAUUAUGGUAUUUUGCUGAUGUGGCAGUAUAUUUAUUGAAGAAAGAGGUAGAAAAAAUAAGACUCCAAGUCUUAUUUAGACUCUAAGUCCACAUUGUUCGAGGUAAUAAAUAACUUUAGACUCUAUGAUAGAGUCUGCAUUGUGAGUGCUCUAAGCCUACUAAUUAGUCUAUGAUUAGAAAAUAAUUGUCAAAUAGAAACAUAAGUGCUAUGUUAGUCAAAACUAAAAAAAAUUCACCAACUAAACAGCUCCUAAAUGGAAAACAUGCUGACACACGGUCACCCUAUUCGUAAAAUUUCAAGCUUUUCUUUAUCUUGGUAUCCACGGUAAAUGUUCAACGUUUCUAAAGCCACAAAAUGCGUUCGAUUCUUGCAAAGAAGCGAUGACCACGUCGUCGUAAAUGCUUACGGCCGUUUGAUUUGCUUGAUUGAGGGUUGCCGUUGCUUGCGCUGUUGUUCGCCAGAAGCUGCUUCACCCGCUUCGAAUCUCGCAGGCUGCUCCACCCGCUUUAAAUCUGGUCUUCCUAUCCCUUCUCCUGUGCUGCCGUUGUUGACCGCUUCUUUCGUUCUCGCUCACCUUGUCCUUUGGGCCUCAUUUUGAUGUAAAAAAUUUUUAGAAUUCGCUACUGUAGCACUUUCGUAUGUUUGUGGUAAAUAUUAUCCAAUCAUAGACUAACUAGGGUCAGCAGAUUCGUCUCGUGAUUUACAGGCAAUCUGUGUAAUUAGUUUCUGUUUUCGUCUAUAUUUAGUGCUUCAUGCAUGUGCCGUAAGAUUCGAUGUGAUGAAAAAUCUUGAAAACUUUUUGAAUUUUGGUGGGAACUAAACAAGGCCUUAGUGUAUCGCACCGCUCUUAGUCCUUGCUACUGUCGCUUUCGUCUUCCUUCCCUCUGGGUCGGUGCUCUCUGUCUUCCACCUCACUCCUCACUUCCUUGCUGCCUCUGUUCUGGGCCUCUGCUCCUCAUCGUCUCCACUCCGCUCACCGUCGUCCUCCGCGGCGUCCGUCGCUUACUUUUUUCCUUGCAUUGUGCUUGCCUACGGCCACUACACCUUGUUUAGUUCCUAAAAUAUUUUGCAAAAAUUUUCAUAUUUUUCAUCACAUCGAAUUUUACGGCAAAUACAUGGAGCACUAAAUAUAGAUAAAAGAAAUAACUAAUUAUAUAGUUUACCUAUAAUUUGCGAGACAAAUUUUUUGAGCCUAAUUAGUCUAUAAUUGGAUAAUAUUUGUCAAAUACAAACGAAAUUGUAACUAUUUCUAUUUUAUAAAAAAAAAUUAGAAGUAAACAAAGUCCAACAAAUACAAAGCCCAACAAAAUAUCAGAUAGCAACCGCACACGUGCGCGGAGGCGCACACCUGCCACUAGUUUAUAUAUCAUACAGUACACGCACUUUAGAGCUCGUUGAACAUCGGAGCUCAAGCUGACAGAUGAGCCUAUGCUUUUGCUGGAAUCCUAGUUUUGUGUACCAGUAGCUUUUAUGUUCUGUGAUGAAUCCUCUUUGGCCCAUCUGGCCCGUCAUGACUCUCGUAACAAAUUCUUUUAGAGCAACUCCAGCCCAGCAUGUAAAUUGGGCCUCUAUUUUUUCCAUUUGCAUGCUGGCAUGUAAAAAAUAGGGAUCCAAAAUCAAAUACAACUCCAGCCCAACACCCAAAAUCCAUUUGCGUACCUGUGCUUGUUCUCGGUCGGCGGCACCCUGCGGCCGGCGCUCCUCUCCGCUGCCAGCCCCACGGUCGCGGCGUGCGUUCCUCUCCUGCCCCCGCGGCCGCAGCCGGCGCUCCUCUCCUGCAACCGCGGCGCGAGGGAUUUCCGUGGGCAUUGGCAGGAUCGAUCUUCAGACAAAAGGAUUGCCCUGUUCUCCAAAACCUGCAGACAAUCUUCCUCGACACCAAGCUCAUCGUUCUUUUCCCCACUGUGCCUCUCGCCAUUGGACAGGUACAUACCCAUUUACCCCAUGACGACCCUCUGUUGCUGUGAUCCAUGUGAGGGCAAAUAUCUCAAGUUUUCACCAUAUUGAAGAAUCAUAUAGUGCAUCAAUUUUAGAGACACUUGUCUGUUUAAAUGGUGUUGCAAGAUUGAUGGUGUUGGGAGAGCAGCACUGCGUUCUUAUCGUUUUUGAAGGGGCUAUAUGCUAUUUGUCAACAAUGGGUAGGAGACAAAUAUGUCUAUGUACUAUUUUGAGUAGCAGUGAUUUUUCUGAUUGUAUACAAGAGUAGUACCGGGAACAAAGAUGAUGCUUGUCCUGACCCUUUUUAAUAGCAUUUUUUCUUUGGUUAAUUGAUUUGGUUGCUGACUACAGUAUAUGCCAUGCCACUAGAGUAUUUUGUGAAAGAGCUAGUAUUUUACUGUUUGAGUUAUGUUGCAUGGAUCUAUAGUAGUUGAAAUAGUUCUGACAAUAUUACUUACUAUUGUUAUAUGUAAAUUUCUGAAAUUAAUACACUAAUAAAAUAUUUUUACAAACAAAUAGAUAAUUUUGACAAUAUGGUUGUUUCCCCAAUAUGUCGAUUGAGAACUUUAAUUUUGAGAUGUGCUCUGAAUUUGCCUAACUAUUCAAGUUCCAAAACUGAUAGAUAAUUCUUCAUACAGAAUGCUCCCCUUGCCAACGUCGCUGAGAUUGAAAAGCUGAGUGUGAUGGAUGCUCGAGUUUCAACAUCUUCAGGUGAAUCCUUUGAUGGGUUACUGAUGGCUAUCAUUUUUCACAUGGCUGUACAUAUACAUUUAGUGCAGAAAUUUUGUAAUUAUCUGUGCAGCCAGCCUGCUAAGAACAGGUUGUGCUAAAUCAUUGUGCUGAGCUGAACAACCAUGUUGUUCAUUCUUUCGUUUAACUGUCAUGUUGCUAAAUCAGAGUGUCUAACUUGAUGGAGAAUUAAACCAGGUGUCCAGGUCCAAUACGAGUUUCUUCCAAUUUGGAUAACACAUAUUAACUAACAUGUUUAGAAGGGAGAGGAGUCUAAAAGACACUGGCUCAGUAGCUCAAAAAAAUUAUAUAACUUUGCAGGCACAUCUGUCAGCAAAACCAACAAUAUUUGAUCUGACAAUUCAUGGAUUUUAAGGUGCUACCAAAGCAAUACUUUCGACUGAGGAUACAAAAGGUUUUCCACACGCAAAUUAACCCAUCAAACACAGAACACACUAGAUCAUACAGAAUUGCAGCCUCCCACAGACACAAACGAGAUAAAAGCAGUAAUCACUCUGAUUCCAAACUAGUAGCUGCAGGUGAGUACAGAGAAGCAGGAAUUACGUUGAAUGGCGCAAGCUGGCCAGCCUCAGAGGAGUCGAUCUCCUUCAGCAGCUGCGAUGCAUGCCUCCCAUACAUCCUCCUCCUGAACCUACGAUGGCACUUGGGUAUUCCUGAGCAGGGAAGCUAAAAAUGUUCAGUCCAAAUUCCAAAAGGCUUCUAUCAAGCACAUACAAGUAAUUGCAGCCAAUGUAUAUGGCAUGAGCAACAAGCCAACAAAUUAGUACCAAUAUCAGGAUGGGCUCGACUCUCUCAACCUGAUUUGAGGACCAUUCUCAUUCUCACCCGCAAAAGGAUUCUAGUUUCACAAUUCAAUUUGGAUGAAAGUUGAAAAAAAAAAAAGAAAUCAUUCCUCCACAACGAAUGCGUCUUAUCUACAGCAAGAGCCCGAUCUGAAUCUAGGUGCAGCAAAAGAAAAGGAUUCAUGAGAGGGGAAUGGAACGUGCGUACGAAUUCGCGGACGAUGCCCUUGUAGACAAGGAUGGGGACGGCGAGGCCGAAGAAGCCGACGACAGCGAGGCUGCGGCGCGUCCAACGGAAGUUUAACUCGAGGUGCUCCCGGCCGGCGUUCCGCUCCUCGAUCCACUUGUUCAAGGUGCUGGUGCGGUGGAGGAGGGCCGGCCGUGGCGACGGUGCUGGUGCUGGUGCGGGGGCGCGUGCGGAGGAGGGAGGCCGCGAGGCCGCCGGCGGGGCGGCGCGUGCGGACGGGAGAGAGAGAGAGAGGGGAUAGGGAGCCGCUGGAUCUGGGGAGGGCAUUCAAAAUAGGGACCCAAAUAGAAGGUGGGCUAGAGUUAAUUUUUUUAAACCAAGUCCCUAGAUCUAGAAUAGGGGUAUAAAUAGGAGGUGGGCUGGAGUUGCUAUUAGCGCGGAAGCAAUGGCUGUACAGCCACCAUUCUCAGUCCUGGGCCAAAUUCAACUGUAUUGCUAUUGCCGCCGCACAACGCACGCGUCGGAGCCUAAAGCGCCAUUGGGCCUUAUUUCUUCCAUCCAUGGACACGUAUUUUUGGCACACCGAACAUUUUCUUUUGGACGAAGUCUAUUUUAGGUAUCUCAACUUUCGCUAAAGUCUGUUUUUUAUCCUUGAACUUCAAAACCGGGUAACAUACAUCCCUCAACUUUCGAAACCGUGCAUAUUACGUCCUUGACAUGGUUACGAGCGGUUUUGAAGGGCUGUUUUGUCUUUUUCAUUUUUAUUUAUUUCGGCUGAAUAUUUGUAAAAUUAUAGUAAAUCACAUAAAAUUCAUAAAAUAGUAAAUCUGAUUUUGUUGAACUCCAGAUAAGUAGAUCUACACAAUGAUUAUAUAAUAUAGUAUGCUUUAGUAGAAAGUUUUUGUUGUAGCUUUAGAUUUGUGUUUUCCUAUAAUUAAUUAGAAUAGUUCAUAGCUAUAGUUUAUAUGGUCCAAUUAUGAUGAAUUUUUUAUGUUGGGAUAAUUACUAUAUAUUUAAAUUGUGGUAAAAAUUUAAUACUCAUUAGAUCAUGUAUAACUUAGUUAUAGAUUUAUUAAGAUUUAACAAGCAUAGACCUAAAUAAAUCUAACUAAGUAAUACAUGAUCCAAUGAGUAUAAAAGUUUUAGUACAGCUCAAUCAUAGAAUAAUUAGCCCACCAUAUAAAUUUCAUCACAAUUGGACCAUAGAAACUGUAGCUAUAAAUAGUCUAAUUAAUUACAGAAAAGCAUAGAUAUAAAGCUGCAUAAAGAAAAUAUAUACUAAAAUAUACUAUAUUAUAUAUUUAAUAUGUAGAUCUACUCAUCUGAAGUUCAAAAAAAUUGAGCUUUCUAUUUUAUGAUUUUUAUGUGAUUUUUCAAAAAAUUCAGCCAAAAUAAAUAAAAAGAAAAAGACAAAACUGCUUUCAAAACUAGGUCAAGGAUGUAAUGUGCACGUUUUUAAAAGUUAAGGGAUGUAUUUUGUCUGGUUUUAGAGUUCAGGGAUGAAAAUUAGACUUUCGUGAAAGUUAAGGGACCUAAAGUGGACUUUUUUCUUUUCUUUUCUUUUCUUUUAUUUUUUCCCCAUUCUAACGUAGUCUCCUUUUUUUCUUUUCUUUUAUUUUCAUUUUCUUUGGCAUUUUAAUUAUCCUUUUGUUUAUUCAAAUAGAUUUCAUCCUUCCAUUUCAUUUUCUUUCUUUUAUUUUUCUCUCUACUCAUGAACUAGAAUAUUGUUAUCUUAAGAUAGGAAUAUAUUAUUCUCCUAAGCUGGAGACAUUAUUCUCUUUGGUUUCUAUUUCCUUUGCACUCCUAGAAUCAAAUACUUUUCUUCUAAACAUAGAAUAUUAGUUGCCUAAGCAUGGAAAAUAUUUUUUUUCUAAACUAAAAAUUAUUCUCCUUGACUAAAGUAUUAUUCUAUUCAUUUUCAUUGAUUUAAUUUUCUAGUUGUGGAUAAGAAUAAUCUCUUGACCUAGAAUAUAUAUCAUUCACGUGAACCUAAAAUAUUAUUCUCUAAAAAAUAAUAUUGUUUUGUUGGACUUGAGUGUUUUUCUUUAUGAAUACAAUGUUCUUAUGAAUGUGGAAUAUUAUUCUCCUAAACUUGGAAUAAUGUUAUUUUCCUAAUUUGGAAUGUAUAUUAUUUAGUUUUGCUCUUUAACUGUAUUAUUUUUCCAUUUAAAUUUCUUCCUAUUAUUGGACUAGAAUCUUAUUUACUCCUGAUUUAUAAUACAAAUUACCUUAACCUCAAAUUUAUUAUCCUAAUUAAAUCUAGAAUAUUAUUCUCCUUAAUCUUGACCUUUUUCUCGUAAAUGCGGUGAAGGAACCGUUGCCUUUAAGAGUGGGGGUUGAAUUACUUAAAACUAAGACCAAAAACCACUUAUGAAAACAUACUCAAGUUCUAUCUUGAUAUGCAAUAUAUUUUUGUAAGUAUUGCUUUGUCGGAUGCCAAAGAAUUUUGUGCCCUAAGUUCUAAUUCUAUGAACUAACCUAGCAAGCUAGGCUAUGAAGGUAAAAAAGCAUACAACCAAGGAAUAAUGCAAGAAUGUAAAUGUAGAAUAUAAACAGUUAGAGAAUGUGAACUUCAUGUAUGACUUGUUUUUACUGAGGUAUUGGAAAGCUCAUACUUUCCACUGAUCCUCAUUGGAGCCCCCUCACAAGGAUGCUCUCACAAGGGCCAAGCUUCAAAUCGGGCAACUCUAUGGAUAGUUCAAGAGCCUUUCCCCCAUGCAAGUGGUUUUCUACCAAGUAUCUCCUAGAUUCCCUCCACCAUCUCCACUUUGUAGAGCUUCAGCUAAAACACCGAGGGCCUCUCUUCUCUCGUACGCCAUCGGCGUGCACUCAACAAACACCUAAAGCAAAGAGCUAAUGUGGCUUGAACUAGCCUAAGCACCAAUUCUAAUGCUUUUGUUAAUUCCUAAUCUUCUCUUAAGCACAUGUGGUGUCUUAGAUAUGAGCCUCAACUCAACUGCGCUUUGAACCCGCUCCAACACACUUCAAAUGGUUGGGUAUGCGAGUAUAAGUAUCCCCCAACUAGACAUAGUAAUUAGGAUCUAUCUCAGCGGUAAGCACUGAAUAUCUUUGGUGACCACAUCGAAGAAAUCUGGUGCCCUACAUCUCACCAACUACUAGUUGCAGACAUAUCUGGCGCACAACCAAAAAAAUCGGUGGUUAGUCCAAAGCUCUCUAGAAUGCACCUCAUAAUAUAUUACUUCGAUGCCUCCACUAGAGAGCUCUGGUACUCUCUUUUGUUUUCUGCCACAUGUGCAUUGGCUCUAUUACAUAACUCCAAUACACUCUAGAAAUAUAUCGUGCACCUUUUUGUUCUUGUAUCUCAAACUCCAUUCACCGGAAAACUCCGGUGAUGACCCAAAAGUAACUCAGGACUUAUAGUACAACCAUGUAUGAGGACAACAUGUCUCUAGUCUUGUCUUAGUAAUCUAAACUACUCUAGCUUGUUAAUGAUUAUAGAAAGGUGCAAGAGGGCGUGCCUUUGUCGGGUGUGAUUCAACUUUCUAUCAUUUAUAUGUUAUUGUGAUGGUGUGUGUCAUUUUGGUAGGAGGCUGUACAUAUUUGUUGGGUAAAUCUGAAACCUCAUGGCUAGUAACUUGUUAGGAAGACUUUGGAAUAGCUAUAAUAAAAUCUUGCCGACUCACCUUCAAAAUGGUUCAUAGGUUAGCUUUAUCCCCGACGAAUGUAGAUCAUGACUCGUGGUUAAAGUUGUGUAUAGUCCGCAAAGUACUUAAAAUGAUAAGUUAAUCAUGAUCUCGAUCAUGAGCGGUAAGAAUCCUUUUUUAGUAGCUGAUUUACCAUGGAUUGUUUGGCAUAUGGCUUAAUGCUAUUGUAAUCCCUAAUUACUUACACUUUGGGGCUUAAGCAUAAUUUAGUUACUC
rnacentral:lncRNA from 1 species